rnacentral:rRNA from 14 species
AAAUAACGACGAGAGACCGAUAGCGAACAAGUACUGUGAAGGAAAGAUGCAAAGCACUUUGAAAAGAGAGUUAAAAGACUUGAAAUCGCUGAGGAGGAAGCAGUGGGACGUCGGCUCGACUGAGUGGAAACUUG